rnacentral:tRNA from 1 species
AGCCCCGUCGGUGGAAGCACAUCGAAAUGCAAGUUCGGAGAAGCACMCAAGAGGUGCCGGGGCUU